UACGAGGGGUCCUAGCGUUGUUCGGAAUCAUUGGGCGUAAAGGGUGUGUAGGCUGCCAUACAAGUCAGUUGUGAAAUCCCUCGGCUCAACCGAGGAACUGCAUCCGAUACUGGCGGGCUUGAAUCCGGGAGAGGGAUGUGGAAUUCCAGGUGUAGCGGUGAAAUGCGUAGAUAUCUGGAGGAACACCGGUGGCGAAGGCGGCAUCCUGGACCGGUAUUGACGCUGAGGCGCGAAAGCUAGGGGAGCAAACGGG
rnacentral:rRNA from 1 species